rnacentral:rRNA from 1 species
UACAGAGGGGGCAAGCGUUAUUCGGAAUUAUUGGGCGUAAAGGGCGCGUAGGCGGCCAGGCAAGUGGAAGGUGAAAUCCCUCGGCUUAACCGAGGAACUGCCCUCCAAACUGCUUGGCUUGAGACCGGGAGAGGUGAGUGGAAUUCCCAGUGUAGCGGUGAAAUGCGUAGAUAUUGGGAGGAACACCAGUGGCGAAGGCGGCUCACUGGACCGGUACUGACGCUGAUGCGCGAAAGCGUGGGGAGCGAACAGG